GACGAACGCUGGCGGCGUGCUUAACACAUGCAAGUCGAACGGAAAGGCCCUGCUUUUGUGGGGUGCUCGAGAGGCGAACGGGUGAGUAACACGUGAGUAACCUGCCCUUGACUUUGGGAUAACUUCAGGAAACUGGGGCUAAUACCGGAUAGGAGCUCCUGCUGCAUGGUGGGGGUUGGAAAGUUUCGGCGGUUGGGGAUGGACUCGCGGCUUAUCAGCUUGUUGGUGGGGUAGUGGCUUACCAAGGCUUUGACGGGUAGCCGGCCUGAGAGGGUGACCGGCCACAUUGGGACUGAGAUACGGCCCAGCCUCCUACGGGAGGCAGCAGUGGGGAAUAUUGCACAAUGGGCGGAGGCCGGAUGCAGCAACGCCGCGUGCGGGAUGACGGCCUUCGGGUUGGAAACCGCUUUCGCCUGUGACGAGGCGUGAGUGACGGUAAUGGGGAAAGAAGCACCGGCUAACUACGU
rnacentral:rRNA from 1 species